GAUGAACGCUAGCGGCAGGCUUAAUACAUGCAAGUCGAGGGGCAUCAAGGUACACGAAAGUGUAUUGUUGGCGACCGGCGGACGGGUGAGUAAUAGGUAGGUAACCUACCUCAUACUGAGGCAUAGCUGGGAGAAAUUCCAGGUAAUUCCUCAUGAGGUUAUAUGACACAUGUGAUAUAAUCAAAGGUAUCGCAAGGUACUGGUAUGAGAUGGGCUUACUGACCAUUAGCUAGUUGGUGAGAUAAGAGCUCACCAAGGCGAAGAUGGUUAGGGGUUUGAGAGAGAGAUCCCCCACAUUGGAACUGAGAUACGGUCCAGACCCCUACGGGAGGCAGCAGUAGGGAAUAUUGGGCAAUGGGCGGAAGCCUGACCCAGCCAUGCCGCGUGAAGGAAGACGGCCUUAUGGGUUGUAAACUUCUUUACUAUGCGACUAACUAGAUUUACGAGAUAAUUCUAUAGAAUGUAGCAUAGACAAAAAGCACCGGCUAACC
rnacentral:rRNA from 1 species